rnacentral:rRNA from 2 species
GGCGUGCCUAUACAUGCAAGUCGAACGAACUCUGGUAUUGAUUGGUGCUUGCAUCAUGAUUUACAUUUGAGUGAGUGGCGAACUGGUGAGUAACACGUGGGAAACCUGCCCAGAAGCGGGGGAUAACACCUGGAAACAGAUGCUAAUACCGCAUAACAACUUGGACCGCAUGGUCCGAGUUUGAAAGAUGGCUUCGGCUAUCACUUUUGGAUGGUCCCGCGGCGUAUUAGCUAGAUGGUGGGGUAACGGCUCACCAUGGCAAUGAUACGUAGCCGACCUGAGAGGGUAAUCGGCCACAUUGGGACUGAGACACGGCCCAAACUCCUACGGGAGGCAGCAGUAGGGAAUCUUCCACAAUGGACGAAAGUCUGAUGGAGCAACGCCGCGUGAGUGAAGAAGGGUUUCGGCUCGUAAAACUCUGUUGUUAAAGAAGAACAUAUCUGAGAGUAACUGUUCAGGUAUUGACGGUAUUUAACCAGAAAGCCACGGCUAACUACGUGCCAGCAGCCGCGGUAAUACGUAGGUGGCAAGCGUUGUCCGGAUUUAUUGGGCGUAAAGCGAGCGCAGGCGGUUUUUUAAGUCUGAUGUGAAAGCCUUCGGCUCAACCGAAGAAGUGCAUCGGAAACUGGGAAACUUGAGUGCAGAAGAGGACAGUGGAACUCCAUGUGUAGCGGUGAAAUGCGUAGAUAUAUGGAAGAACACCAGUGGCGAAGGCGGCUGUCUGGUCUGUAACUGACGCUGAGGCUCGAAAGUAUGGGUAGCAAACAGGAUUAGAUACCCUGGUAGUCCAUACCGUAAACGAUGAAUGCUAAGUGUUGGAGGGUUUCCGCCCUUCAGUGCUGCAGCUAACGCAUUAAGCAUUCCGCCUGGGGAGUACGGCCGCAAGGCUGAAACUCAAAGGAAUUGACGGGGGCCCGCACAAGCGGUGGAGCAUGUGGUUUAAUUCGAAGCUACGCGAAGAACCUUACCAGGUCUUGACAUACUAUGCAAAUCUAAGAGAUUAGACGUUCCCUUCGGGGACAUGGAUACAGGUGGUGCAUGGUUGUCGUCAGCUCGUGUCGUGAGAUGUUGGGUUAAGUCCCGCAACGAGCGCAACCCUUAUUAUCAGUUGCCAGCAUUAAGUUGGGCACUCUGGUGAGACUGCCGGUGACAAACCGGAGGAAGGUGGGGAUGACGUCAAAUCAUCAUGCCCCUUAUGACCUGGGCUACACACGUGCUACAAUGGAUGGUACAACGAGUUGCGAACUCGCGAGAGUAAGCUAAUCUCUUAAAGCCAUUCUCAGUUCGGAUUGUAGGCUGCAACUCGCCUACAUGAAGUCGGAAUCGCUAGUAAUCGCGGAUCAGCAUGCCGCGGUGAAUACGUUCCCGGGCCUUGUACACACCGCCCGUCACACCAUGAGAGUUUGUAACACCCAAAGUCGGUGGGGUAACCUUUUAGGAACCAGCCGCC